UCUUAUCAAGAGUGGCGGAGGGAUAGGCCCUGUGAUGCCCGGCAACCAACAGACGACCAUGUCUGGAAAGGUGCUAAUUCCUACAGAACCGAACGAUAGGUUCUGACAGAUGAGA
rnacentral:ncRNA from 1 species